AGAGUUUGAUCAUGGCUCAGGAUGAACGCUGGCGGCGCGCCUAACACAUGCAAGUCGAACGGCACCUGCCUUCGGGCAGAAGCGAGUGGCGAACGGCUGAGUAACACGUGGAGAACCUGCCCCCUCCCCCGGGAUAGCCGCCCGAAAGGACGGGUAAUACCGGAUACCCCGGGGUGCCGCAUGGCACCCCGGCUAAAGCCCCGACGGGAGGGGAUGGCUCCGCGGCCCAUCAGGUAGACGGCGGGGUGACGGCCCACCGUGCCGACAACGGGUAGCCGGGUUGAGAGACCGACCGGCCAGAUUGGGACUGAGACACGGCCCAGACUCCUACGGGAGGCAGCA
rnacentral:rRNA from 1 species